AGGGCGUAUUUUUAUUGACAGAAUAAAAGAGAUACAUACUGCUAUUUAUGCGUUCUAUCAGACACACAUUCUUAAGUGUUCAGACUAUGUCUCAGGUCUUAAGGAGCUGAAGUUGUCCGUUCGUAAGAACCAGAGUCUCAUCCUGCCACACUGUUUCCCGUUAAGCAAUGGGGCAAAUUCCAUCUGCCUGGAAUGCUUUGGUUUAGCCGUUGGAGUGACAAACUGGAAAAUCAUUCGCAUUGAUUUGGCUCUGAUAGGAACAAAUGUUUCUUCAUUUUUCUUUCCUGCCCUCACUGUUCCCGCUGUGACUCUGCACCAACCUGGAAAAUUCACCCAAACUGUUAUGCAGUGAAGGCCUUCUGUCUGCCGGGAAACAGUCUUCGAAGACACUUCUUAACUCUGAGGCUCACAGUGGCGGCUCAGAUGCUAGAUGGAUGGUAGUGCCUUUCUGACACCACGCCCCACCCCUGCUACCUACUCCGCCGUGUGCCUCCUAAAGACAAAGAUGCUCCCCUACGCCCCCACCACCUGACUUUCCACGUCAGGAAAUCCACACUGACACAGCACAGCCAUCCCAUCCACAGACCUUGUUCAAAUGUCACCAACUGUCUCAACAGUGCCUCUUCUUCCUUCCCCUUGUAGGCUCCUACGCAGAGCACGCCUUCCAUUGAGUUGUCAGUCCCCUCAGCCUCCUUCUGUCUGGAACAGUUCCCAGUCUGCCCCUGUCCUAGUGUCCUGAGCUGACUUCAAGAGCACAAGCCCCGGCGAGAACACCACCAAAAUGACGCUGCGCUCUUCUCAGCACGUCACACCGGGAGGCUCACGCUGCCCACCCACCCCUCUGUGGAGUUGUUACCUCCAUCACCUCGUCACCUGUGUCUACCACUUCCUCCUUUGCAUUUGAUUAAUAUUUUAUGGGGAGAUAAUCCAAUUCAUCAAACUUCU
rnacentral:lncRNA from 1 species